AGAGGGGAAUCAGAGAGACAGAAACCAUCAAGAUGGGAACCAUGGAGACUGGAAUCAUGGAGAUGGGAACCAGAGGGACAGAAACCAUGGAGAUGGGAACCAGAGAGAGGGGAACCCAUGGAGAUCGGAACCAGAGAGAGGGGAAUCAGAGAGGAGAACCCGAGAGAGAGCAAAGCAUGGAGAUGGGAACUCAUGGAAAUUGGAACCAGAGAGAUGGGAACCAUAGAAAGGGGAACCAGAGAGAGGGGAGCUCAGAAAGAGACAGGAACCAUAGAGAUGGGAACCUUGGAGAUGGGAACCAGAGAGAGCAGAACCACGGAGAUGGGGACCAUGGAGAUGGGAACCCAUAGAAACUGGAACCACGGAGAAGGAACCAUGGAGAGGGGAACCCAUAGAGAAGGGAACCAUGGAGAGGGGAACCCAUAGAGACUGGAACCAUAGAGAAGGGAACCAUGGAGAUGGGAACCAGAGAGAGGAAAACCAGAGGGGACAGAAACCAUGGAGAGGGGAACCAGAGAAGGGGGGACCAGAGUGCAGGAUGAGAGAAGGGCCCCACAGUAAAGGACGAGGAAAGGGCUUCACAGGAACUGGAGAUGAUAAGUUAACAGAAGCAAACGUGCAGAGCUGUUAGAAGAAUGGGGACUGCAGGCACUGGGGCUGAGAGAAGGAGGGGAAGGGAACGUCAGGAGUUGGAGAACAGCCCGAGGGCGUCAGCAGGGGGCGAUAAAACGUGGGUGGGGGGCUGCCCCUCCUGCAGGGUCAGGAGAUCACGGCGAGGAAGACCGCGAUUCUUCAUCCCGCGACCACCAGGAGGAGACCCCCCGCCUCCCACCGCUCAGGCGUGAGGGGGAGGGUCUGCAUGCAAAUGAAAUCUAAUGAACAUGACUCCGAAUUCCUGGAAGGAGGAGUUUGAUUUCUGCGGGCUGUGACCGAAGCCACGCCCACAACCGCUCCAUGGCCACGCCCACAUAACCCUUGGCCACGCCCACAACCAAUCCCUGGUGUCUGCGUCAUCUCAGGCCACGCCCCCCUACAAAAAGCCAGCCCACUUAACUACAGGCCACGCUCCCCACAAGAAGCCACUUCCACAGCUGACUCCCUGACCACGCCCACAUAACGGAAGGCCACGCCUCCGACCAAGAACCACUCCGACCAAGAACCAACACCUGGUGCCUGCACCAGGCCACGCCCCCUACAAAAGCCACACCCCCAACAAAAAGCCACAUCCACAUAACCACAGGCCAUGCCCGCAACCAAUCCUUAGCCACGCCCACAUAACUCCAGGCCACGCCCACAACCAAUCCUUGAUGCCUGCAUCAACUCUAGCCACGCCCCCUACUA
rnacentral:lncRNA from 1 species